ensembl:lncRNA
GGUGAUCGUGAGUGAUGGCAAGAGGAUUUAGCCUCAGCAUUAACUUGGAGCGGAGUGCAGGGGGGCAGUGAAGCGCCCCGGCCAUCUGGCCCCCGCCGCGCCCCGGGGGGGGGGAAUGCCCCGGCGCCCCGACGAGCCGCCGCGAAGCCCACCCGGGCCGGGGGCUGCCCGGUGCCCGAGCGCGGGUCCUCUCCGAGCCGCCCAGGGGGCCCCAAAAGUUUGCACUUGUUAGCGGCGACCUCCGGCUCGGCCCCCGGCGGGCGAUGCGGGCGGCGCGGGCGGCCCCCUCCCCCGGCCCGCGUCUCCGGGACGGCUGCGGGCGGCCCCCCCGGGGGCCGGAGGGCUCCCCAGCCCCGAUCUGACAGCCACAGAGGCGGCGGGGGAAGGAGCAGCGGCUCGCAGCCCUCGGCCUUCGCCCCCACCCAGCGCCAGCCGGACGGGGGAGCAGAGCGCCGGAGGGUGGCGGCCUCCGGGGUCUCCGCUCCGGGAAGCCGCUCCGAGCCGGGGUUGUAAAAAUAGUCUCCAGGCGGAUUCUUUCUGAGAGUUUUCUAGCAAGGAGCACAUUCAAGGCCAGGAGGACUCUGUAAC